CAUCCUUGUCUUUUGGACAUAGUCUCUUUACUCAGAUCAGCUAGUUCUAUGUAUUAAUUUUCUUAUAUGUCUUUCAACAAGUGCUUAAAAUGCCUCGUUGUGGUGUGAGUUAAAGGUCCAUUGAUUAGGCCAGGGGCAGUGGCUCACGCCUCUAAUACCAGCACUUUGGGAGGCUGAGGGGGUGGAUGGCUUGAGGCCAGAAGUUCGAGAACAUCCUGGGCAACAUGACAAAACCCUGUCUCUACAAAAUAAUAAAACAAUUAGCCAGGCAUGGUUAAAUAAAACAAUUAGCCAGCGACUUGGAAGGCUGAGGUUGGAGGAUUGCUUGUGCCUGGGAGGCAGAGGUUGCAGUGAGCCGAAAUUGUACCACUGCACUCCAGCUUGGGUGACAGCGAUACCUUGUCUCAAAAAAAGAUCCAUUGACUAAAUAAGAAAUUAGUCUUAAAACUAGAUUAUUUAGUUAAAGAAGCAAAUAUAAUUUGGGGAAGGAGAGGACUAAAAGCAAAAGUAAGCUGUCUUGGUUAAAAAAAAAAAUUACAUUGCUCCUUUUUUUGUAUGUGUAUUUAGAACUAAAAUCUUAGUGCUUCAUUAGUGGUUUUAAAAUAAACCAGGUAGCCAGCACAGAAUUUUGGCUGUGGGAUCUUUAUUAAAUGGUAAAAAUAAACUAGAGUAUUCAAUGAGUAUAGGAAAAUUUAGUCAUGGGCUGGUACAGUUAAGAUUUGCGUAAUUGCUUCUUCUCUGAUAAAACACCAAAUGGCGGAUGACGCCGGUGCAGUGGAGGCGGGGAGGCGGGGUCCGGAGGCCCCGGGGGCCCUGGGUUGGGGAACCGAGGUUACUUCCGCGGAGGUUUGGGCAGUGGCAUCCAGGGCCAGGGUCGUGGCCGCGGAGCUCGCUGAGGCAAAGCCGAGGAUAAGGAGUGGAUGCCUGUCACCAAAUUGGGCCGCCUGGUCAAAGAUAUGAAGAUUAAAUCUCUGGAGGAGAUCUAGCUCUUCUCUCUGCCCAUCAAGGGAUCUGAGAUCAUUGACUUUUUACUGGGUGCCUCUCUCAAGGAUUAUUAGGUUUUGAAGAUUAUGCCGGUGCAGAAGCAGACCCGUGCUGGCCAGCACACCAGGUUCAAGGCGUUUGUUGCUAUUGGGGACUAUAAUGGUCACGUCGGUCUGGGUGUUAAGUGUUGCAAGGAGGUGGCCACUGCCAUCCAUGGGGCCAUCAUCCUGGCCAAGCUCUCCAUUGUCCCCAUGCACAGAGGCUACUGGGGGAACAAUCGGCAAGCCCCACACCAUCCCUUACAAGGUGACAGGCCGCUGUGGCUCUGUGCCCUUGGGCCUCAUCCCCGCACCCAGGGUCACUGGCAUCAUCUCAGUACCUGUGCCCAAGAAGCUGCUCAUGAUGGCUGGUAUCGAUGACUGCUACACCUCAGCUAGGGGCUGCACUGCCACCUUGGGCAACUUUGCCAAGGUCACCUUUAAUGCCAUCUCUAAGACUUACAGCUACCUGACCCCCGAUCUCUGGAAGGAGACUGUAUUCACCAAGUCUCCCUAUCAGGAAUUCACUGACCACCUCAUCAAGACCCACACCAGAGUCUCUGUGCAGAGGACCCAAGCUCCAGCUGUGGCUACAACAUAGGGUUUUUAUACAAGAAAAAUAAAGUGAAUUAA